UACGAAGGGGGCUAGCGUUGUUCGGAAUUACUGGGCGUAAAGCGCACGUAGGCGGGUCUUUAAGUCAGGGGUGAAAUCCUGGAGCUCAACUCCAGAACUGCCUUUGAUACUGAGGAUCUUGAGUUCGGGAGAGGUGAGUGGAACUGCGAGUGUAGAGGUGAAAUUCGUAGAUAUUCGCAAGAACACCAGUGGCGAAGGCGGCUCACUGGCCCGAUACUGACGCUGAGGCACGAAAGCGUGGGGAGCAAACAGG
rnacentral:rRNA from 1 species